UACGUCAGUGGCAGACGGGUGAGUAACGCGUGGGAACGUACCUUUUGGUUCGGAACAACUGAGGGAAACUUCAGCUAAUACCGGAUAAGCCCUUACGGGGAAAGAUUUAUCGCCGAAAGAUCGGCCCGCGUCUGAUUAGCUAGUUGGUGAGGUAAUGGCUCACCAAGGCGACGAUCAGUAGCUGGUCUGAGAGGAUGAU
rnacentral:rRNA from 1 species